CAAUAGCGUAUAUUUAAGUUGUUGCAGUUAAAAAGCUCGUAGUUGGAUUUCGGAUGGGAUUUGCCGGUCCGUCGUUACGAUGUGCACUGGCCAGUCCUAUCUUGUUGUCGGGGACUAGCUCCUUGGAUUCACUUCCUGGGACUAGGAGCUGACGAGGUUACUUUGAGUAAAUUAGAGUGUUCAAAGCAAGCCUACGCUCUGAAUACAUUAGCAUGGAAUAACACGAUAGGACUCUGGCUUAUCUUGUUGGUCUGUGAGACCAGAGUAAUGAUUAAGAGGGACAGUCGGGGACAUUCGUAUUUCAUUGUCAGAGAUGAAAUUCUUGGAUUUAUGAAAGACGAACUUCUGCGAAAGCAUUUGUCAAGGAUGUUUUCAUUAA
rnacentral:rRNA from 1 species